UACGGAGGAUGCGAGCGUUAUCCGGAUUUAUUGGGUUUAAAGGGUGCGUAGGCGGCUUUUUAAGUCAGCGGUGAAAUUUUGCAGCUCAACUGUAAAAGUGCCUUCGAAACUGGUUUCCUUGAGUGUAGAUGAAGUAGGCGGAAUUUGUGGUGUAGCGGUGAAAUGCAUAGAUAUCACGAGGAACUCCGAUUGCGCAGGCAGCUUACUAAACUACUACUGACGCUCAGGCACGAAGGCGUGGGGAUCAAACAGGAUUAGAUACCCUGGUAGU
rnacentral:rRNA from 1 species